rnacentral:rRNA from 1 species
AUUGAACGCUGGCGGCAGGCUUAACACAUGCAAGUCGAGCGCGCGUCGGGCGGGUGAGUAUUGUAUGGGGACUGCCCGAUAGAGGGGGAUAACUCCUGGAAACGGUAUCUAAUACCGCAUACUAUCGGAUAACCCAUAGGGGAUUAGCUAGUCGGUGUGGUAAUGGCUCACCUUGGCGACGAUCCCUAGCUGGUCUGAGAGGAUGAUCAGCCACACUGGGACUGAGACACGGCCCAGACUCCUACGGAGGCAGCAGUGGGGAAUAUUGCACAAUGGGGGCAAGCCUGAUGCAGCCAUGCCGCGUGUAUGAAGAAGGCCCUAGGGUUGUAAAGUACUUGCAGUCGGGAGGCGUUACCGACAGAAGAAGCACCGGCUAACUCCGUGCCAGCAGCCGCGGUAAUUC